GACCCAGUUGCACAUGGUGUGCAUCUGCCUUGAAUACAUGAGAAACUUCUAUACAGACAUCACUGGUUCGACUCCAGGCUGGGUCA